GAUGAACGCUGGCGGCGUGCCUAAUACAUGCAAGUCGAGCGAACGGACGAGAAGCUUGCUUCUCUGAUGUUAGCGGCGGACGGGUGAGUAACACGUGGAUAACCUACCUAUAAGACUGGGAUAACUUCGGGAAACCGGAGCUAAUACCGGAUGAUAUUUUGAACCGCAUGGUUCAAAAGUGAAAGACGGUCUUGCUGUCACUUAUAGCUGGAUCCGCGCUGCAUUAGCUAGUUGGUAAGGUAACGGCUUACCAAGGCAACGAGGCAUAGCCGACCUGAGAGGGGGAUCGCCCACACUGGAACUGAGACACGGUCCAGACUCCUACGGGAGGCAGCAGUAGGGAAUCUUCCGCAAUGGGCGAAAGCCUGACGGAGCAACGCCGCGUGAGUGAUGAAGUUCUUCGGAUCGUAAAACUCGGUUAUUAGGGAAGAACAUAUGUGUAAGUAACUGUGCACAUCUUGACGGUACCUAAUCAGAAAGCCACGGCUAACUACGUG
rnacentral:rRNA from 1 species